UUUUCUGAAGUGCUUCCAUCUCAUUUUAUCUUUACAACCUCUUUGUGAGGUGUGGCUCAUACUGUUUAUUAUCUCUAGUUUAUAGACAAGGAAGCUAAGGACAUGGAGGGGUUAAGAAACCUGCUUCAGGUCAUUCAGCAGGUCAUUGGCAGAGGUGGGAUGAGAAGACAGAUUCCGUGCUGUUCCCUUAGACCAUGCUGCCUCAGCACAAGGACCCUGACCUCACUCAGACACUGAUCGGCCUUGUGCUCUUCACCAAGACUAUAGAUAAGAAAUUUUUGGAGAAACUCAAGAUCAUUUUAAGACAAGGUGGCUUAGUAUGCUCUACGGCAGGGGCGGCCCAGCCUAAUGAACUGAAGAGCUGCCAUCCAAAAGCUUAAUGGGGCUGAGAAUCACAGAACAAGUGGAAGGUGGCUGUGCUCUGCACACAGUAAGCGCUCAAUAAAUACGAUUGAAUGAAUGACUACAGGCCCUAAGGAUUUAUAAUCCUAAGGAGUGAGGCCAAAGAACUGGAGAAAGGUGCAGACCAAAGCAGCCAGUGACCGAAUGUGAUACAGCAGACAAAGCUAUGGCUGGGAACCAAUGAACGGAUCUCAGGGGCCAGCGCCUACGGAAUCAGAAACCAACCAAGAAAAACAAAAGAUCAUGCAGAUGGGCCAAAGAAGUGGCAUGUCAGACUGUGAAGCCACUGACCUCUUCCCUUGCCAGGCACAGACAACCACCGGAAUCCAGAAAAGGCCCACACACAAGAGAUCCACCAAUUCUGGAAGGUGAAUAUCAUUGACCUGAACAUGGCAGAGAUGCCAUGGGGAAUGUCAUGUGUCAUUUUCCCCUUUGCGAAA